AUGGGACGCAUCAGUUAUGGUGGAAGCACAUAUUAUAACCCGUUGAUCAAGAGCCGCAUCUCCGUCACCAGAGACACGUCCAAGAAUCAGUUCUCCCUGCAGCUGAGCUCUGUGACCGACGAGGACACAGGCGUGUAUUACUGUGCUAGAGACACAGUGACAGGAAGUGUCCUGUCCCAGGUGCAGCUGCAGGAGUCAGGUCCUGGCCUGGUGAAACCCUCACAGACCCUGUCCCUCACCUGCUCUGUAUCUGGAUUCUCUUUAACCAGCUAUGAUAUGCACUGGAUCCGCCAGCGUCCAGGAAAGGGGCUGCAGUGGGUCGAUGCGAUAUGGAGUGAUGGAAGCACAAACUAUAAUACAGAUCUUAAAUCACGAGUCAGCAUCACCAGGGACACCUCCAAGAGCCAAGCUUAUUUAACAUUGAGCAGCCUGAUAGUCGGGGACACGGCCGUGUAUUACUGUGCGAGAGACAGGAGGGAGAGAGGUUGGGAGUAA